UUAUAGCAGAAUAUGACAUUCCAAUAUACCACUGAAAAGAGCAGUUAGGAUGUUUGACAAUGAAGGUGAACAUUUCACAGGUACCUUGGGGAAAGUCUUCCUUAUGAUUAGAUUUAUUUAUGUAUUUUUCAAGUUACAAUGUGCCCAUUUUAAAGCUUGCAAUGUAAAGACUAAAAGCAACUCUUUGAGAAAUCAAAUUUAUUUAACCCGCAGCAAAAAUGAGCCCCACCUCACUCAUCCUCCUGCAAUCCUGGUAAAAGUUGGCCGAGAGGAGAGGUCAGCCAUUCAUCUGGCAGACCAAUGAGAGAAGCAAAUUGCACCGGGAGUUAAGAGGGAAGAAGUAGUGGAGGUGCUCUACUCUCAAGACACACAUGCCAUGGCCACACUCCCAGAAUUCCAAUCCACCCUUUGUGCCCCACUUUCCUAAUAAACCUGAUUCUCUGUUCCAAAUGCGAGUGGAUCAGCAAAGUGAAAUCGGCAAGACCUCUGACAGGCACUUCAAGGAAAACCACCCCAGGAGUAUGUAUGAAAGUUCACAGGGAAUUGGGUAAAAAUCGAGGUUUGAGAUUUUUGGAUUCUGUUAUUCAACACACCACCACCAGAAAAUCCCCAUAAACCAGGUUGGGAGUCAUUCAGUUCCUUGUUCAAAGCCUCCUUAGAAAAUUACAGUCCAGAGAUGAGAAGCAGAAAUGAAGACCAAGCAGUGAUGUGACAGCUUCCACUUAUAUACCUUCAGCCUAGGUGUAUGGAAAGUUAUUGGCCCAAGAUGGAGUCCAGGGUCACAUGAGUAUGGAAAGUUACUGGUAAAAGAUGGAUCACAUGUUCUCAUUGCAUGUCCUUAGCUCAACGCUAUCUGAGGCAUGCAAGAAGACUCAUUGAGAAGCUGAUUUCCCUUAAUGGCCCAUCAUCACAUGGAUGACCCAUCAACCAGUGAUGGCUAGUCCGAAUGUAAAUUUGUCUGAGGGAUGUCAGCCAGGAACACAACACAUGUUUGAGAUACUAAUAUAUAGCAAAUAUUCAUAACGUCAGAGACAAAGAUACUACAUACAUACAAACAAGAUUAUUGUACUUAGAUCACAACUUUUCCACUGAUAUCUUACAUGACAUACUUUAUAUAGGGUUUAGUGCAGUUGUGCAACAAUGAUAUAAUGUUCAUAUAAAGUAUCACAGUUUCCAAGAGAGGUUGUGGAAUCCCCAUCACUGGAGGUUUUUAAGCGCAGGUUAGACAGACACCUGUGAGGUGUGGUCUAGGUAUACUUGAUUCUGCCUCAGCAUAGCGGACCAGACUAGAUAUCCUCUCAAGGGCCCUUCCAGCCCUACAUUUCUAUGUUUCUAAGAUUCUAUUCCCAGCUAUAAUUCUGUGAUGUGUUAAUUAAGCCUCCAGCAUUGUAUCUAAUGCUGCACCUUGGGAGCAUGGUUCUCAAAGACAUAUCAAUUUCCUUUUGUUUAUUAAAAAGGGAUCAUCCAUCACUCCUUGUUGUUUUUGUCCUUCAUUCCUUGUUUGCUGAACUAACAUCAUUAUCAUGCCCAUCCCAUUUUUCAUAAGGAAAAAUAGACUAGAUUUUGAAAACACUCUGUCCUUUUGGGUCAAUUUCCAACCCCAAAUGUAUGCAUCUGACUCCCUUUGACUUCUGUAGGAGUUGUGUCUGCAUAUCUUAGGGAAUAAUUGGGCCCUGGUUGUGUCUUUCUGUGUCUGUCUGUGUGUGAAGGAGAGUAUGUGAAUGUGGUUAUAAAAGUAAAUUGUCUCAAUUAAUACAAGGCUGGAGCAUAUCACAUAUACUUUGCAGACUGCUGUAACUAUUAACAUUUUCCACACCAAAAAAA